rnacentral:rRNA from 1 species
UACGUAGGGGGCUAGCGUUGUCCGGAAUCAUUGGGCGUAAAGAGCGCGUAGGCGGCCCUGUAAGUCCGCUGUGAAAGUCAAGGGCUCAACCCUUGGAUGCCGGUGGAUACUGCAGGGCUAGAGUCCGGAAGAGGCGAGUGGAAUUCCUGGUGUAGCGGUGAAAUGCGCAGAUAUCAGGAGGAACACCGAUGGCGAAGGCAGCUCGCUGGGACGGUACUGGACGCUGAGGCGCGAAAGCGUGGGGAGCAAACAGG